rnacentral:rRNA from 1 species
UACACACAUCUAAGAGGGUCUUCUGAGGCGCGAGCUCGCAGCCGUUUGUUAACUGAACCAAUGUUGCUUCGGCGGGACCGUCCCUCACGGGGGACCGCCGGGGGGUCACCUCGAGAGAGGUUCCCUCUGGCCCGCGCCCGCCGAUGGCCGACCAAUCAAAUUCUUAACUAAACGUGUUAUUGUCUGAGUACCUGAUUAUUAAAUCAUAAGCAAAACUUUCAACAACGGAUCUCUUGGUUCUGGCAUCGAUGAAGAACGCAGCGAAAUGCGAUAAGUAAUGCGAAUUGCAGAAUUCCAGUGAGUCAUCGAAUCUUUGAACGCACAUUGCGCCCUUUGGUAUUCCGAAGGGCAUGCCUGUUCGAGCGUCAUUAUCACCCCUCAAGCCCCCGGGCUUGGUUUUGGAGCUUAGGCCUGGGCUAGUCCCUCGCCUCUCCUAAAGACAAUGACGGCGGCCUAGGACCCCCGGUACACUGAGUUCGUCAUUGGACACGUACCGUCACAGGUCUCUAGGUCCCGGUCUCAACCCUUUUAUUUUUUACAAGGUUGACCUCGGAUCAGGUAGGGAUACCCGCUGAACUUAAGCAUAUCAUUAAACCGGAGGAAAGGAGGGGAACCCGCCG